rnacentral:misc_RNA from 1 species
GAUGAAGAACGUAGCGAAAUGCGAUAAGUAAUGUGAAUUGCAGAAUUCAGUGAAUCAUCGAAUCUUUGAACGCAUCUUGCGCUCCUUGGUAUUCUGAGGAGCAUGCCUGUUUGAGUGUCAUUAAAUUCUCAACUACACUGACUUUGAAUUGGUGUGGCUUGGAUUUGGGGGGAAAAUUGUUGUGGGCUUUUUGUAUAGUCUGCUCCCUUGAAAUUGAUUAGCGGUACCUUUGUGGAACUGUCUACAGGUGUGAUAAUUAUCUACAUCUUAGACAUCUGCUGGAAUGCUGCUUUCUAAACCUUACUUGUAUUGACAAUCUUGACCUCAAAUCAGGUAGGACUACCCGCUGAACUUAAGCAUAUCAAUAAGCGGAGGA